UCCCUGGUGGCUCAGACAGUAAAGCAUCUGCCUGUGAUGCAGGAGACCUGGGUUCGAUUCCUGGGUAGGGAA
rnacentral:tRNA from 1 species